AUCUGAAGCUCCGAACUGGGUAUUCAGCCAUCUCUCCGCUUUAUUUCUUGGCACCUAUAUGUUUACUGUAAGGUUCGGUCCACUCGACAUUUCAAGCAAAGGAGGGAAAACCCACUCCAAUCUUUUCAUCUGGACAGUCCCAAACCUGAGAACCACACACCAGGAGAGAAAGCGAACAUGCCUGUUUCCAGAAGAAGGAGCCAGAGACUCCAGCUCCAGCCAGGAUAAUCGGCAACAAAAUGACCUCUGGUUAGACUACUGUCCUUGAUAUAUUGCGGCAGCUUGGCACAGUGGUAAGAGCUGAAUUCAGAAUCAGAAGACAUGGAUUCAAAUCCCAGAUCUCCCACUUAUCUGUAUAAUGGGCGUGUCACUUAAUUUCUCCGAGCUCCAGCUUCCUAAAUGAGGGGGUUGGAUUGACUGUUUCUUAACAAGAAGCAUAGAUAACCUUUACCGAUCCUUUCCAGCUCUAAAUCUAUUGUUUUUUAUGUUGUUGUUUCAGUUAUCCCAAACUCUUUGUAACCUCUUUUGGCAAAUAUA